AGAGUUUGAUCAUGGCUCAGAUUGAACGCUGGCGGCAUGCCUUACACAUGCAAGUCGAACGGUAACGGGCCUUCGGGUGCCGACGAGUGGCGAACGGGUGAGUAAUGUAUCGGAACGUACCUUCAGUGGGGAUAACGUAGCGAAAGUCACGCUAAUACCGCAUAUUCUGUGAGCAGGAAAGCAGGGGAUCGCAAGACCUUGCGCUGGUUGAGCGGCCGAUAUCAGAUUAGCUAGUUGGUGAGGUAAAGGCUCACCAAGGCGACGAUCUGUAGCGGGUCUGAGAGGAUGAUCCGCCACACUGGAACUGAGACACGGUCCAGACUCCUACGGGAGGCAGCAGUGGGGAAUUUUGGACAAUGGGGGCAACCCUGAUCCAGCCAUGCCGCGUGAGUGAAGAAGGCCUUCGGGUUGUAAAGCUCUUUCGGCCGGGAAGAAAUCGUAUGGGUUAAUACCCUGUGCGGAUGACGGUACCGGCAUAAGAAGCACCGGCUAACUACGUG
rnacentral:rRNA from 1 species